rnacentral:rRNA from 1 species
AGAAUUAGGGUUUGAUUCCGGAGAGGAAGCCUGAGACACGGCUACCAUGUCCACGGUCAGCAGCAGGCACGUAAUUGCCCCAUACUGAACUAUCGGAACAGUGAGGCAGCGACGGAACAUACCACGGGGGCGUGGGGCGUCCAAACCCACCUCCGGCGGAAUGGUGAGAAGUUGAAACUUUCUCAGAGGAUCUACUUGAGAGCAAGUCUGGUGCCAGCAGUCGCGGUAACUCCAGCUCAGGGAGCGUAUACUUACGUUGUUGCUCUUAGAGGACUCUCAGUUGGAUGCUGAAAAGGGGGAAGACACUGAGAACAACGUGAGUUGGCUCUCUUUGUCUGGUUUGGGGCUCGAAAGGCCUUUUCACUGAACUCCCUUUAAAAGAGAUAAGCCCGAGAGCACAACAGCCAAUAUGAAAGGAUCGAAAAGGUCCAGUCUACCCAUUCGGAUGAAGCAGAGCUUUCGUUGGCUCAGCCAACAAUUGGAAGUAAGGCAUUGCCUCGGCAAGUUGAUUC